rnacentral:rRNA from 1 species
UACGUAGGGUGCAAGCGUUGUCCGGAAUUAUUGGGCGUAAAGAGCUCGUAGGCGGUCUGUCGCGUCUGCUGUGAAAACUCGAGGGCUUAACCCUGAGCUUGCAGUGGGUACGGGCAGACUAGAGUGCGGUAGGGGAGACUGGAAUUCCUGGUGAUAGCGGUGAAAUGACGCAGAUAUCAGGAGGAACACCGGUGGCGAAGGCGGGUCUCUGGGCCGUAACUGACGCUGGAGGAGCGGAAAGCCAUGG